AUUGGAAGUUGAUUAAAAACAAAACCGCAGAAUACAUUGAUCGUCUUCAUUAUCGGUCAUCUCCAUCGUCUCAUCAGAUACCCCAUCUUGUUGUCCCUCGACCGUUAAGAGAUCCGGGGACUGAUGUAACCAGAAGAAAUGGAGAAGGUGUAUACGGGAGGCUUAGAAGGAAAAAUACCGCCAUAAUACGUAACCAGAGAUCAUGGAAGAGGCAUGCUCGUCCACCGUUCAUAAGGAGGGAGACGGAAGAAAAGACCUACACGCGUAUACGCUCGAGGUAGACACCAAAGAGGACAGAGGAAAAUGCUCGGGAUGGAGGGGAUACAGGGCGAGAGAGAAGGAUAGGAAGACGGAGUGAGAGGUCGAGAAAAAGAGAAGAGAAAGGAUGAAUUAACAGACAGGGAAAAGGACGGAAUGAAGAGUAAGGCAAGAUACAUAAAAGUAA
rnacentral:lncRNA from 13 species